GUAGGUGAACCUGCGGAAGGAUCAUUAACAGGUAUCCAACGUUAUACCCCCUGUGAACUUUAAUACGCAGACCUUAAAAAAAACCGAACAACUGUUAACAAUGGAUAUCUUGGUUCUC
rnacentral:misc_RNA from 1 species